AACUUUUAAAGGGGGAUUCCUUGGGUUCCGGGGUGGUGAAGGAAGCAGCAAACCUUGGUUCCUUUGUGAACUCCCGGCCACCAGACAUUGACCAUUUGAACGCAUAUCGCAGUCCAUGCUGUUAUGUACUUUAAUUAAUUUUGAAGUGCUGCUUGGGACUACAUAUGGUUGAGGGUUG
rnacentral:rRNA from 1 species